GCCAGUGCCGCCGCCAGUCACCGCGCUCAGGGCGGCUCCGCCCCCAACGUUUACGUAAAGACUUGCGCGUCGGGAGCGGCCUUCAUUGAGCGCCGAGGCACAGUUUAUGGUUCUAGCGCCCUCUAACGCUUGGCGGUGCAAAAAGCGGCAAAGAUGAUUGAGCUCAGACUCCUUUGAAGGAUUGUGCCUGGCUAGGAGCUCUUGUUGGGGAGUGGAGGAAAACACAGAGGAUGACAACCAGAGCUGACUUCCUUUUCCGAAGACCGCAGCGAGCCUGUAGGAGUCUGAGUUCUCCAGAGAAACAGGAACAAUAGAAUGUGUACACGUAGAAAGAGGUUUGUUGUAAGGAUCUGGCUCACACAGUUACAGACACUGACAAGCCCAACUCUGAAAUGUCACCUGGCAGGUGGGGGUUCAGGAGAUCUAUCAAUGCAGUGCCAAUUCUGAAGCAACCUGCUGGAGAACUUUUUCUUACUUGAGGUGUCCUGGUUCCUGGGAACAUUCCAC